rnacentral:rRNA from 1 species
GACGAACGCUGGCGGCGUGCUUAACACAUGCAAGUCGAACGGAAAGGCCCUGCUUUUGUGGGGUGCUCGAGUGGCGAACGGGUGAGUAACACGUGAGUAACCUGCCCUUGACUGUGGGAUAACUUCAGGAAACUGGGGCUAAUACCGGAUAGGAGCUCCUGCUGCAUGGUGGGGGUUGGAAAGUUUCGGCGGUUGGGGAUGGACUCGCGGCUUAUCAGAUUGUUGGUUGGGUAGUGGCUUACCAAGGCUUUGACGCGUAGCCGGGCUGAGAGGGUGAGCGGCCACAUCGGGAUUGAGAUGCGGCCCAGACUCCUACGGGAGGGAGCGGUGGGGAAUAUUGCACUAUGGGCGGAAGCCUGAUGCAGCAACGCCGCGUGCGGGAUGACGGCCUUCGGGUUGUAUUCCGAUUUCGCCUGUGACGAAGCGUGAGUGACGGUAAUGGGUAAAGAAGCACCGGCUAACUACGUG